rnacentral:tRNA from 1 species
AAAAUUUUAGUUUAUUUUAUAAAAUAUUUCAUUUACAUUGAAGAGAAUUUAUUUAAAAGAUAUAGAAAAUUUUA